rnacentral:rRNA from 1 species
UACGGGGGGGGCAAGCGUUGUUCGGAAUUACUGGGCGUAAAGGGCUCGUAGGCGGCCAACUAAGUCAGACGUGGAAUCCCUCGGCUUAACCGAGGAACUGCCUGUCAAACUGCAUGGCUUGAGACCGGGAGAGGUGAGUGGAAUUCCCAGUGUAGCGGUGAAAUGCGUAGAUAUUGGAAGGAACACCAGUGGCGAAGGCGGCUCACUGGACCGGUACUGACGCUGAUGCGCGAAAGCGUGGGGAGCAAACAGG